rnacentral:rRNA from 1 species
GAUGAACGCUGGCGGCGUGCCUAAUACAUGCAAGUCGAGCGAACAGACGAGGAGCUUGCUCCUCUGACGUUAGCGGCGGACGGGUGAGUAACACGUGGAUAACCUACCUAUAAGACUGGGAUAACUUCGGGAAACCGGAGCUAAUACCGGAUAAUAUAUUGAACCGCAUGGUUCAAUAGUGAAAGACGGUUUUGCUGUCACUUAUAGAUGGAUCCGCGCCGCAUUAGCUAGUUGGUAAGGUAACGGCUUACCAAGGCAACGAUGCGUAGCCGACCUGAGAGGGUGAUCGGCCACACGGGAACUGAGACACGGUCCAGACUCCGACGGGAGGCAGCAGUAGGGAAUCUUCCGCAAUGGGCGAAAGCCUGACGGAGCAACGCCGCGGGAGUGAUGAAGGUCUUCUGAUCGUAAAACUCUGUUAUUAGGGAAGAACAAAUGUGUAAGUAACUAUGCACGUCUUGACGGUACCUAAUCAGAAAGCCACGGCUAACUACGUG